GGACAGCACCCUAGGCUAAAGGCUGGCGUAUGCAAGGGUCCUGAGGCGGGAUCCAGGGAGGCAUCUAACAAGAGAUGGACUCCACCCACCACCAGCUUCUUGACCGACUUUGGGAAGCCACCCCAGAAAUCCAUCCCAAGGGGAUGGUGCAAGCUCCCAGGUCUUCAGCCUCCUCCGGAACAGUUCACAACCUCGGCCACCCAGCUCUGGGCACAGAGAGGACAAGCCGGGCUGGAUUGAUUAGAUCACUGUCAGCCGGGGGACCCGAGGUUAAUUACUGUUCUCUUCAACAGAGAAGCAGACUAAGACAUUCCCCUCGUUCAGGAAGCCAUCCGAUGGACCCAUGGGCACCCUCGCCCAGCUUUCACUGAGAUGGCACCCAAAGCUUGGGAUGAACCUCUGCAGAGUCUAGAAUGCGAUGGCAAUGACUUCCCUCUGCUCAAAAUGAGGACAAGAGCAGCAGUAAUGGGCCACAUAGGAGUGUUGAUCCAGCAGGUGAGGGAGAUGUCAGAGUCCUUGAAAGCUGCGGUGGCUCCAAUGUGGUCCUUGCAGUUAGGAAAUCCACAUGGAAGUACUGAGGACGAGUCACCACAGGACUGCAACUUACAAAUGGCCCAAUAAAGAAAAGAAGGUUCGGGAACCUGGCUUGGAUGGAGAUAUGACAGGUGCUCUCUGCAUCUCUUUCCACCUUGAAAUACUACCUGGAGCAGAGACUGUUAAAAGCCAGUUCUGUUGUGCUCUCUUCGGCAGCACAUAUACUAAAACUGGAAAGAUACAGAGAAGAUUAGCAUGGCCCCUGCCCAAGAAUGACAUGCAAAUUCGCGAAGCGUUCCAUAUUUUUUUAAAAAAAGCCAGUUUUGUCCAUGUCUCUUUACAAUUUAUGGUCCUCCCGAAACGUGCUGACUUUGCUAGGAAAUAGAGAUGAGAGAACACAGGGGGUGGCCAUCUUCCAGCAGACAGGGGCUGCGGGAGCUGCUCUCUCCACCCUCAUUUUCUCUUUCUUGUGGUCUUUCCAUCUCUCAGAGGGGGAACCUCAGAUAGGCGGUUUUCAGUGGCAAAUGUGGGCACCUUCAUUCUGUCCCUUGGCUGCAUUUGGCUGCAAGUAAGGGCAGUGCAAAGUCAGUCACACACACACACACACACACACACACACACACACACACACACACACACACACAAAAGCCUGGAGAUCUUUCCACAGCUAACUAGAAACCAAGGGAGGAGUAAGGGUCUGCAAUGUACACGGAGUAGGCAGAAGGAGAAAGCAUUGUCCCUAGAGCCAUCGCCCAGGACCAGGAGGGUGACAACUUACUGUUAUAAAGAGGACUAGACACGUCUUUCACCUGAAUUGCUGCCUCAGACAAAACCAGGACUGUCCUGAAGGAAGAAGACAAUGAGGGCUGACUGGCCGCCAGUAACUGGCAAAUGUCUCACCAAUAAGAACUUACAUAAAGGGAGAAGGUAUCUAAGUGUAUGUGGGCAUCAGGCAUAGCUGUGUUCAGGAGCUUAGAUACCAUCACCAGACACUGUGGUUCCUCUGAGAGCUCCAUGGUGGCGACACCACUCCCUCCCAGCAACUUGAAAUGGGUAUCAUAUCAGCUUCAUAAUCCAGGAAGCGAAAUGAAUUCUUUCCUGAUACUUUCCGUUCUAGCAAGAAGCCACAACUUCAGAUGCCGUGUCCUGACUUGGGUCACAGGCCUACACCUAGCUAAUCUGUUAUAUCUAGGGACAGAGCUUGUGUGGGGAAACAGACUCUUGACUGCCCAUUCUGGCCAGUACUCUCCCUUGGAACCCCAGGAUAGGCGGACGGCAACAGUUAUGGGAUACUUAGGGACUUGGGAAGGACAUAGUCACUUGGGUUCUGUUAUCAUUUGUUUAUUCAUUGAUAAAUAUCUACCCAUAAAUGAAUAUUAUCCUUACUUCCCUUGUGUGACAUCAAACUGGACACAGCCCUUGCUGUGGCUCUGGUGUCCCUUAGAGAAAGGGGCAGACUCUCAUGGAAUCACCAAGUCCUUAAGAUGGGUAGUGUGACUUUUGGCUCCUUUUAGUUUUGUCACUUGCCAGAAAGGUGAGCUUGUGAGAGUCAUCUCCCCUUGUGGAUUCCAGUUUCUGUAACCUCCAUGGCCCCACUUAUUCAUCUGCUAGAAAGAUCACGAAUGUAGAGACUGUAGCUACCUGUUAACUAUCCCCUAGUUAGCAGUCCAAACUUGGUAGCAGCCUUCACCAUCACCACCAUGACUAGCAGCAGCAUUUUCGUUACCAUCAUCACCGUCAUCACAAACACCACCACCAUCAUCAUCACCAUCAUCACAACCAUCCUCACCACUAUCGUCACCAUCAGCAGCAGGAGUAUUACCAUUACCAUAGUCAUCAUCACCACCAUCACCACCAUUGUCACCAUCAUCACCACCACCACCACCACCACCACCUACCACUGUACUUACUGAUAUUAUUACCCAGCCGGGAAGACUUCCAUAGAAUCACAAAACAUCCAUGCUCAUAAGCAAGAUCCCAUCCACCAGAGUUCAACCCCACUGCCUGUCCCCUUUCUUGUCCCCAGCAACCAACCUGUUUCAACUUCAGGGGUUAUGCGAGGCACUGGGAGUUGGAGGCAGGAGGAUUAUCCUAGCUAUAUAGUUAGUUUGAGGCCAGUCUGAACUACAGGGGAGCCUGUCUCAAAACAAAAACAAAAACACAGGAAAAACCCCAAAGGUCUCCCUUCCUAGACCACUCAGGAGCAGCACACUGACCCCGCCUUUAAAUCCAUCUCCUUCCUGUUCCAGGCCCAUCCCUGUUGGAAAAAAAUGACUCUCACAAAAGAUCCCUCUGCAGCAAUUAUCUAAAUGGGAGGCUGGGAGGGGGGGAGCCAUUUAGAAUCCACUUCAUUGCGGGAUUACCUAAUUAAUUAACGGUUUCGCUGACAACUCGUUGGAGAAGUGUGUUAAACAGGAGCGCAGUGGGCCGUGAUUUAUAGACUCUGACACCCCCCUCCUGGCCUCUCCACCUCCCUCCUUCCUGCCCUCCCACAGCCCCCCACUUCCCCACUCGGCUCGGCACAAGGAGGCCCGUGAGGACCCUCGCCCAGGCUCCCUCUGGAGUUUGGGGCUGGGGCACACGGAAAUGACAGAAGGGCUCCAGGGAGGGGGUGGAUCCGGGUGAUGAGGAGACAAUGAAGAGAUAAGGAGGCAGCUGAGAUGAGGGGGAAGGUCGCAUCUGCCCCUUGCCCCCAGCCCAGAGCCAUCUGUGCCGGUCAGGGCCUGUGGACACCUCCCGGUCCCGGCUGCUUCCUCUUGAAACUUGGUAGUUUUCCAGAGAGACUGUUCCCCUCAGCUUGGAGAAGUGUGUACCGUCAGGGGACCCAGAAACUCAGCUUUGACUUUUCCACAGGAAAGGGUUUUCCAAUUUCCGGUAACUGGAAGGUGAAGGCUGGGGUGUGGCUCAGUUGUCGGAGUGCUGCCCCACAUGCGCAAAGCCCUGGCUUGGAUCGCCAGCAAAGCACAAACUGGGUACAGCGGUGCACACGGGUAAUCCCAACGCUGGUGGAGUAGAGGCAGGAGGCCCAGAACUUCAAGGUCAAGCCUGGAUACAGGAGACCCUGUCUCAAAUCACCCCAGGGUGAGAGACGGGGAAGAAGACGGAAGUAAGGAGCAGCGUGCAGCCCGUGGACACCUGUAUCGUGGAAGGUGUUGUCUCAACACGAAAAGGUCACCCAUCCACGGAGCCCCAGCCCUGGCGUGAGGCAGGGCAUGGAUUUUUAACACCAGGAUUGCGUACUCUGGAAACGUUUAAACCAACCAUUUGGCGGGCAAUCUCACUAAAGGAGAACUGUGGACUUGAUGGCAGGAGUCUGAGGCUAGUCCAGCUCUGCUGCUAGCUUCUUGCUGCUCUCUGUCCUCAUGUUUAUGGCUGAUGAGGUAUCGAUGGCUGCCACCUUUAAGUAAAGGACUCUUCUCCUGGGAAGGGAGUCUGGAACGUCAUGACAUUUUAGAGCAGUGGUUCUCAACCUUCCUAAUGCUGCGACACUUUAAUACAGUUCCUCAUGCAAUGGCCCCCAACAAUAAAGUAUUCCUCGUUGCUACUUCA